AUUGAACGCUGGCGGCAGGCUUAACACAUGCAAGUCGAGCGGAGAUGAGGUGCUUGCACCUUAUCUUAGCGGCGGACGGGUGAGUAAUGCUUAGGAAUCUGCCUAUUAGUGGGGGACAACAUUCCGAAAGGAAUGCUAAUACCGCAUACGUCCUACGGGAGAAAGCAGGGGAUCUUCGGACCUCGCGCUAAUAGAUGAGCCUAAGUCGGAUUAGCUAGUUGGUGGGGUAAAGGCCUACCAAGGCGAAGAUCUGUAGCGGGUCUGAGAGGAUGAUCCGCCACACUGGGACUGAGACACGGCCCAGACUCCUACGGGAGGCAGCAGUGGGGAAUAUUGGACAAUGGGGGGAACCCUGAUCCAGCCAUGCCGCGUGUGUGAAGAAGGCCUUAUGGUUGUAGAGCACUUUAAGCGAGGAGGAGGCUACUGAGACUAAUACUCUUGGAUAGUGGACGUUACUCGCAGAAUAAGCACCGGCUAACUCUGUGCCAGCCGCCGCCGUAA
rnacentral:rRNA from 1 species